rnacentral:lncRNA from 10 species
UUAAAUUAGCCAAAUUAUAAAGUGCAGGCAGGGGCUCCAGUUGGGCUUCCUUAAACUCCAGAGGCUAAAAAUACUCCAAUUUGAAUUCCUAAUGUUAGAGCUAAAGCUGGGUUGGGAGGGCAGGUGCUGGAUUUGUGGGGAUUUGGGGGUUUUAGCAUUAAAAUUAUUGAUUCACAAGUAAAAUACCAGUUUGGUUCACUUUGCACAGAUCUACAUUUUGAAUUCAAAUGGCCUUUACCCAACCCAAUAGAAUUUUGCUAGAAGGGAUUUUUGAGAUCAUUUAGUCAAACUUUGUCCCUUUUCUCUGAAAUCUUGUUUUUCUUUUUAAACAAAUGUGACAAACAAGCCCCAGUGAGAGUACGGUUUGUCUGGAUGACUUGGAUAUUAAGUUACCAAGUCUGUACUAGAAUCAAGGGCUCCCUCCCCACUAUAUUAUGUGAGCUUAUGUAUGAUAAAAAUAAAAUUGUGCAACACACAGUUUAUUUAAGCCAAAUAGGGUGAUAAAGUACACUUAUCCCCUUUUCAACUUAAAGCUGUUUAAGUAGGUCUUUUAAACAGCAUAUAUUUAAUCCAGAAAUUGUAUCUUAUCCCAUCUGAUCUGUCCAUCACCAUGCUUCCAGAUUGAAUCCAAAAUGUUACACUUACUUGAGAAUAAAGAUGCCGUGAGAGACUUUAAACUCUUAACAUCAAAAAUCCAGUUUUACAUAACAAGUAUGUGUUUAUUGCUGGCCCAACAUGCUACCUUAACAUAUUUUGCCAUUGAAGGUUUAAUGAACUGUGUUAACUGAAUAUGUUUUCAUAUUAGGUGUGUUUAUAAGACCUUCUUUAGAAAAUGUAACUGUCAGUCUAUCUAAAAAAACAUUGUCCUUUGAGUAAUAUAUAUGAAAAAUAUAAGUAUUUUAAUUUCUGUGCAAUUUUUUAUUUUUAAUUUUUGUGGGUACAUGGUAGGUGUAUAUAUUUAUGGAGUACAUGAGAUGUUUUGAUACAUACAUGCACUGUGAAAUAAGCACAUAAUGAAGAAUGGGAUAUCCAUCCCUUAAGCAUUUAUCCAUUGAGUUGCCAACAAUCCAAUUGUACUCUUCAUUUUAAAAUGCACACUUCUUAUUGACUAUAGUCACCCUGUUGUGUUAUCAAAUAGUAGGUCUUAUUCAUUCGGUUUUUUAAUCCACUAACCAUCCUCACCUCCCCAGCCCCCACUACCCUUCCCAGCCUCUGGUAACCAUCCUUCUACUCUCUGUGUCCAUGAGUUCAAUUGUUUUGAUUUGUGCAAUAUUAAGUAUGC